ensembl:processed_transcript
UCUGGAGAUUGAGUGUCUGGAUGACUCCUACAGCUGUGUUGUGGCUUACUCAUUCACAAACCAGACUACACACCUCAACAUUACUCAGCUAUGCGGGACAUGUUCAGCAACCAGACAACUCUUUAUUCAGAAAGCUCUAAUAAUUACUGGUGUAGUCCUGUUGUUGUUGUUGUUGCUGGUGGUCACAGUUGGAGUUAUGAAGUUCUGGCACAGGAGGAACAACAAACCAGCAAUUGAAACUACAGAAGAAGAGGUCGUUUAUACUGAUGCAACAUUUACUACACACAGAGCUCCAGAUACUAAAACUAAGGGACUGGAUCAGACCGAGUAUUCAGAAGUGUUUCUGAGAUGAUGAGCAAGUCUGGUCAUGGAGAGAAUGCCCUGUUGUUUUCAGGAAGCAGCAGCAUGUUGGAAUGGAUGAGGGUAUA